AGGGGCAUCAGUUUGGUUUGCUUGCAAACCAAAGCUGGCGACCGGCGCACGGGUGGGUAACACGUAUCCAACCUGCCUCAUACUCGGGGAUAGCCUUUCGAAAGAAAGAUUAAUAUCCGAUAGCAUAUAUUUCCCGCAUGGGUUUUAUAUUAAAGAAAUUCGGUAUGAGAUGGGGAUGCGUUCCAUUAGUUUGUUGGCGGGGUAACGGCCCACCAAGACUACGAUGGAUAGGGGUUCUGAGAGGAAGGUCCCCCACAUUGGAACUGAGACACGGUCCAAACUCCUACGGGAGGCAGCAGUGAGGAAUAUUGGUCAAUGGACGCGAGUCUGAACCAGCCAAGUAGCGUGAAGGAUGACUGCCCUAUGGGUUGUAAACUUCUUUUAUAUGGGAAUAAAGUGGUCCACGUGUGGAUUUUUGUAUGUACCAUAUGAAUAAGGAUCGGCUAACUCCGUGCCAGCAGCCGCGGUAAUACGGAGGAUCCGAGCGUUAUCCGGAUUUAUUGGGUUUAAAGGGAGCGUAGAUGGAUGUUUAAGUCAGUUGUGAAAGUUUGCGGCUCAACCGUAAAAUUGCAGUUGAUACUGGAUAUCUUGAGUGCAGUUGAGGCAGGCGGAAUUCGUGGUGUAGCGGUGAAAUGCUUAGAUAUCACGAAGAACUCCGAUUGCGAAGGCAGC
rnacentral:rRNA from 1 species